rnacentral:rRNA from 1 species
CCUACGGGCGGCAGCAGUGGGGAAUAUUGCACAAUGGGGGAAACCCUGAUGCAGCGACGCCGCGUGAGUGAAGAAGUAUUUAGGUAUGUAAAGCUCGAUCAGCAGGGAAGAAAAUGACGGUACCUGAGUAAGAAGCCCCGGCUAACUACGUGACAGCAGCCGCGGUAAUAAGUAGGGGGCCAGCGUUAUCCGGAUUUACUGGGUGUAAAGGGAGAGUAGACGGCAGCACAAGUCUGGAGUGAAAUGCCGGGGCUUAACCCCGGAACUGCUUUUGAAACUGUGCAGCUAGAGUGCAGGAGAGGUAAGUGGAAUUCCUAGUGUAGCGGUGCAAUGCGUAGAUAUUAGGAGGAACACCAGUGGCGAAGGCGGCUUACUGGACUGUAACUGACGUUGAGGCUCGAAAGCGUGGGGAGCAAACAGGAUUAGAUACCCCAGUAGUC